CGGGUGAGGCCGGAUCCUGGGCUGUGUCCCGGCGCCCUGUGCUCCGGUGCCUGCGCUGGUGGAUUCGCGCUCCCGCCCCGCAGCCCCCU
rnacentral:pre_miRNA from 1 species